rnacentral:rRNA from 1 species
GUCUAUGGCCAUGCCACCCUGAACAAGCCCGAUUCCGUCUGAUCUCAGAAACUAAGCAGGGUCGGGCCUGGUUAGUACUUGGAUGGGAGACCACCUGGGGAGACCAGGUACUGUAGGCA